rnacentral:tRNA from 1 species
GGCUCGGUAGCUUAGUUGGAAAAGCACUUGUCUAGCGAAUAAGGGUCGGGAGUUCAAAUCUCACCUGAGCUG